UACUCUACGGGAGGCAGCAGUGGGGAAUUUUGGACAAUGGGCGCAAGCCUGAUCCAGCAAUGCCGCGUGCAGGACGAAGGCCUUCGGGUUGUAAACUGCUUUUGUACGGAACGAAACGGCCCCUUCUAAUACAGGGGGCUAAUGACGGUACCGUAAGAAUAAGCACCGGCUAACUACGUGCCAGCAGCCGCGGUAAUACGUAGGGUGCGAGCGUUAAUCGGAAUUACUGGGCGUAAAGCGUGCGCAGGCGGUUUUGUAAGACAGAUGUGAAAUCCCCGGGCUCAACCUGGGACCUGCAUUUGUGACUGCAAAGCUAGAGUACGGCAGAGGGGGAUGGAAUUCUGCGUGUAGCAGUGAAAUGCGUAGAUAUGCGGAGGAACACCGAUGGCGAAGGCAGUCCCCUGGGCCUGUACCGACGCUCAUGCACGAAAGCGUGGGGAGCAAACAGGAUUAGAUACCCUGGUAGUCCACGCCCUAAACGAUGUCAACUGGUUGUUGGGUCUUCACUGACUCAGUAACGGAGCUAACGCGUGAAGUUGACCGCCUGGGGAGUACGGCCGCAAGGUUGAAACUUAAAGGAAUGACGG
rnacentral:rRNA from 1 species